GGUGGAGCGAUUUGUCUGGUUUAUUCCGAUAACGAACGAGACUCUAGCCUACUAAAUAGACAACACUUUCUUUGAGUGUUGCGCUUCUUAGAGGGACAAGCGACGUUUAGUCGCACGAGAUUGAGCAAUAACAGGUCUGUGAUGCCCUUAGAUGUUCGGGGCUGCACGCGCGCUACACUGAAAGCAUCAACAUGCAUAUCAACCUACCUCGGAAGAGGCGGGUAACCCUUUGAAACGCUUUCGUGAUUGGGAUUGUGAAUUGCAAUUAUUUCACAUGAACGAGGAAUUCCCAGUAAGUCCGAGUCAUCAGCUCGGGUUGAC
rnacentral:rRNA from 1 species